UACGGGGGGGGCAAGCGUUGUCCGGAUUUAUUGGGCGUAAAGAGCGUGUAGGCGGCUUUACAGGUCCGUUGUGAAAACUCGAGGCUCAACCUCGAGACGCCGGUGGAAACCGUAAGGCUAGAGUCCGGAAGAGGAGAGUGGAAUUCCUGGUGUAGCGGUGAAAUGCGCAGAUAUCAGGAAGAACACCCGUGGCGAAGGCGGCUCUCUGGGACGGUACUGACGCUGAGACGCGAAAGCGUGGGGAGCGAACAGG
rnacentral:rRNA from 1 species